rnacentral:rRNA from 1 species
CCCCAGACUCCUACGGGAGGCAGCAGUGGGGAAUAUUGGGCAAUGGGCGCAAGCCUGACCCAGCAACGCCGCGUGAAGGAAGAAGGCUUUCGGGUUGUAAACUUCUUUUAAGAGGGAAGAGUAGAAGACGGUACCUCUUGAAUAAGCCACGGCUAACUACGUGCCAGCAGCCGCGGUAAUACGUAGGUGGCAAGCGUUAUCCGGAUUUACUGGGUGUAAAGGGCGUGUAGGCGGGACUGCAAGUCAGAUGUGAAACCCAUGGGCUCAACCCAUGGCCUGCAUUUGAAACUGUAGUUCUUGAGUGAUGGAGAGGCAGGCGGAAUUCCGUGUGUAGCGGUGAAAUGCGUAGAUAUACGGAGGAACACCAGUGGCGAAGGCGGCCUGCUGGACAUUAACUGACGCUGAGGCGCGAAAGCGUGGGGAGCAAACAGGAUUAGAUACCCCCGUACCG